rnacentral:rRNA from 1 species
CCUACGGGAGGCAGCAGUGAGGAAUAUUGGUCAAUGGACGAGAGUCUGAACCAGCCAAGUAGCGUGAAGGAUGACUGCCCUAUGGGUUGUAAACCUCUUUUAUAUGGGAAUAAAACGUUUCACGCGUGGGAUUUUGUAUGUACCAUAUGAAUACGGAUCGGCUAACUCCGUGCCAGCAGCCGCGGUAAUACGGAGGAUCCGAGCGUUAUCCGGAUUUAUUGGGUUUAAAGGGAGCGUAGGUGGAUUGUUAAGUCAGUUGUGAAAGUUUGCGGCUCAACCGUAUAAUUGCAGGUGAAACUGGCAGUCUUGAGUGCAGUAGAGGUGGGCGGAAUUCGUGGUGUAGCGGUGAAAUGCUUAGAUAUCACGAAGAACUCCGAUUGCGAAGGCAGUUCACUGGACUGCAACUGACACUGAGGCUCGAAAGUGUGGGUAUCAAACAGGAUUAGAUACCCGUGUAGUC